rnacentral:lncRNA from 1 species
UCGAUUUCCAUAACGUUUUCGUUAGUUAAUUAACAUAUUGUCAUUUGGCCUUCCCCCUGAGCUCUUGCGAAAUGGUUCAGCCGCAACGCACGAUGCGUUGAAUCGAACAGCAUCCGAAAUGUGAGAUGCUGGCACUGGCAGCAGGUGUACAGAGCGGCUGGGCUGGCUGAGGUCAGGUCUUAACCACAUGAUGGUGAGCUGGUGGUGACAGCUACAGAAAUGAAGUCAGGUUGGCAAAAACUGAAGGAAAGACGGGAGAAAGAGGAGAGGGCCAAAAGAGGCAGGCAACUGGUCACUCAAUUAUUCGCCAAUAAAGAAGGAGGAGGACUAGAUCCGCCCACGGCCACCACGACUGGAUUCCAUUUCGGAGAAGGAGGUAAGCAACAUUAGUUUGGUAGGAUGUUAGUUGCUUUAGGAUGAAAGUUUUGAAUGAGGGUGCCUUCUAGGCUAGAUCAUAUUUCAGUAUUUAACGGUCAGUCGUUAGGUUCGAGAAAACAGAAUGUUUUUCUUUCUUUUACUGUAACUCUUGUUACUUGUAUAUUUUUAUUGAUGUCUACAAUGUGGAUCCAUUGAUAUUGUAUGCAAUUGCACUGUAAAUUAUGUUCUUUGUUUACAUUUUGAUUGUUACUUGGAGCUAUUUUUUGCACUUUAGACUUCAGCAAUUAAACUUUUUAUUCAUGAACAGUGUAAAUUGAGAUUUUUUUUCAUAUUGUUUGAAGCUGAAGUGUAAAUAUUUGUGUUGAUGUCAAGCAAUUGUAAUGUUAAUUCAGUUCCUAUAAGAGUCUAUCUUUUUAAUGUAUCUUUUUUAUGUACUAUUUAUGGAAUUUGAAAUUGUACUUGCAUAAUAAAUAUGUGUUUAAAGUAAGCAGAAACGGUGGAUUUUUUUGCAGUGCAUCAUGUCUUCUGAAAAGACUAUUGCAGUUAUACAAGGUAUGAAAUUGUGAGUACUCUUAUGGUUUCUUGGGGCUCUGGCUGUGAAGCAUCCACAGGCUUAUGCUGCCAUGUACUGGUUUAACAUUGUAAUGUACUCUCAAUUACAAAGCAAGGUCACUAACUACAUGAAUGGGUAAUCAAUAAUCAAACUGACAAUUGUAGUACAGUUUCAAGCUGCUUACAGACAAUUUUAGCAUAACAAUCAAAUUUCUGUAUUUGUGAAUCUGUACACACAGCUUUAUUUUCAACACAAAAUUCCAUUGGAUUUCCAUAGGUGUUUGUGUUGUGUGGAAAACAGUGUGUUUGGAUUUGCUGAAAAGUUGAUGUGUUGAAACCAAACUGGGUCAAGUCCAAUUUUAGCAUGAGAGAAGGACAUUGUUGUAAAAUUGUGUUUAAGCAGCUAUUGGACAAUAUGUAUAAGACUGCUGCCUAAAAGACAGUAGGCUAUAAAUACUUAGUUUAUUACUUGAAUUACAUGAUGUCACUAACUGAAUGAAAUACGUUUAAUAAGUAAGUUCAUACCCUUAUUUAAAGUCACACAAACCCAUACUCCAUGAAGGGGCAACGAAAAGUCUAACUGAAGUGCUAUUGUGAUGCUGGGCCAUGUUUACCAAAACAGUCGAUAGAUGUUGGGGGGGGCCCAAAAUUAGAAUCUUUCAUAGGGCCCAAAAUUCCUG